UACAGGUUAGACAGAAACACCUUUGGCGGCGAUUACAGCAGUGAGUCUCUCUGAGUAAGUCUCUAAGAGCUUCGCACACCUGAAUUGUGCACCAUUUAUCAAGGUGUUGGGAAUCAUGGCUAGACAGCCAUAGAUUUUCAAGCAAAACUAACUCGACCACUCAUGAACAUUCACUGUCUUCUUGGUAAGCAUCUACGGUGUAGAUUUGGCCUUGUGUUUCAGGUUAUUGUCCUGCUGAAAUGUGAAUUCAUCUCCCAGUGUCUGGUGGAAAGCAGACUGAACCAGGUUUUCAUCUAGAAUUUUUCCUGUGCUUAGCUUUAUUCCAUUUCUUUUCACCCUGAAAAACUCCUCAGUAUUUGCCGAUGACAAGCAUACCCAUACCAUGAUGCAGCCGCCACCAUGCUGGAAAAAUAAGGAGGCAGUUCGUUACUCAGUGACGUAUUGAAUCUGCCCCAAACAUAAGGUUUCCAGUUUUCAUGUCACCUGUCCAAGUACAGUGAAAUACCUUUCUUGCAAGUUCCAAAACCAACAAUGCAGUAAUCAAUAUCAAUGUAGCAUUAAAGAUAACAAGGUAGGGAACUGGAGUGAUGGAGGUAGAUAUGUAUAGGGGGAAGGGGACAGGGAUACUGGAGUGAUGGAGGUAGAUAUGUAUAGGGGACAGGGAUACUGGAGUGAUGGAGGUAGAUAUGUAUAGGGGACAGGGAUACUGGAGUGAUGGAGGUAGAUAUGUAUAGGGGACAGGGAUACUGGAGUGAUGGAGGUAGAUAUGUAUAGGGGGAAGGAGACAGGGAUACUGGAGUGAUGGAGGUAGAUAUGUAUAGGGGACAGGGGUACUGGAGUGAUGGAGGUAGAUAUGUAUAGGGGGAAGGAGACAGGGAUACUGGAGUGAUGGAGGUAGAUAUGUAUAGGAGACAGGGAUACUGGAGUGAUGGAGGUAGAUAUGUAUAGGGUUAAGGUGACUAGAGUGUGAGAGAGUGUACAUAGAGACAGUGCAAAAAUAAAAUACAAGGGUCAACUUAGAGAAUCCAUGCUGUUAGCUAUUUAGUCAGCUAUAUAGCAGUCUUAUGGCUUGGGGAUAGAAGUUGUUCAGAGGCUGUUCGGCUUUGCAUUUAGACCAAAAAGUGUAUUUCCUUUUCCAUUUUGUAUUUAAAUUACUUUAGUGCUUUGUUGCGUGAUGCUAUCGCGUCUGCAUGGACCAACAUUCCUGUGGGAACAUUUCUGAUACCUUGUAGAAUGCCCCAGAGAAUUCAGGUUGUUCUGGAGGCAAAGGGAGUCCGACCCGGUACUAGAUGGGAGUACCUAAUAAACUGUCCGGUGAGUGUAUAAUCCACAGCAUAAUUAUUAACUUAAACCAUGCUUAAAGAGAUAUUCAAAUAUCUGAUUUGUUAUUGUUAUGCAGCUACCAAUCGCUGUCCUUCUUUAUGAGGCUUUCGUAAAGCUCCCUGGUCUUUGUAGUUUAACCUGUGCUUGAUAUUCUAAUACUUGACUGAGGGACUGAUGUUAUAUGUUUUGGGGGACCGAGGAAGUCAUUCAAAAAUCAUGUCAUCCCCUAUUAUUCCAUGUAAAUUAUUGUGUGAUUUGUUAAGGCACAUUUUACUCCUGAACUAAGUUACUCUUGACAUAACAAAGGGUCUGAAUACUUAUACAAUGAUUAUUUUAGUU
rnacentral:lncRNA from 1 species